rnacentral:sRNA from 1 species
CUUGCUCUGGCAUACAGAGUUAUUAAUGAACAUCAAAAGUAAAAGUAAAGCCUCAGAAUCUGCGUUAACGUUGUUAUCUUCUGUGUUUCCCUUAGCUUUCAUCGUCACAUUUAAUAAUUCAAGCUUCAGUGCAUCGCAUUUCGCGGUAGAUUUAUUAACUUUAAUUAUAUAGGGGACAUAACAUGUCUAACAAAACAACUGGUCUAGUAAAAUGGUUUAACGAAGAUAAAGGUUUCGGAUUCAUCACUCCAGACAAUGGCGGCGCUGACGUAUUCGUACAUUUCCGUUCAAUCACUUCAGAAGGUUUCAAAACUUUAGCUGAAGGUCAAAAAGUUUCUUUCGAAGUAGAGCAGGGCCAAAAAGGUCCUCAAGCAGCUAACGUUUCUGCUAUCUAAUCUAACUUUGUUAGAAUGACGCAAAUGGUUCACGCCGUUUGCGUCUUU